GGGGAAUAUUGGGCAAUGGGCGCAAGCCUGACCCAGCAACGCCGCGUGAGGGAAGAAGGUCUUCGGAUUGUAAACCUCUGUCCUUGGUGAAAAGUAAGAGAUGGUAGCCAAGGAGGAAGCUCCGGCUAACUACGUGCCAGCAGCCGCGGUAAUACGUAGGGAGCGAGCGUUGUCCGGAAUGAUUGGGCGUAAAGGGCGUGUAGGCGGCCGUUUAAGUCUGGAGUGAAAUUCCUGUUUUUAAGGUAGGAACUGCUUUGGAAACUGGACGGCUUGAGUGCAGGAGAGGUUAUCGGAAUUCCCGGUGUAGCGGUGAAAUGCGUAGAGAUCGGGAGGAACACCAGUGGCGAAGGCGGGUAACUGGACUGCAACUGACGCUGAGGCGCGAAAGUGUGGGGAGCAAAC
rnacentral:rRNA from 1 species